AACGGCGAGUGAAGCGGCAAGAGCUCAAAUUUGAAAUCUGGCCUCCCUUGGGGGGUCCGAGUUGUAAUUUGUAGAGGAUGCUUCGGGUGUGGCCGCCGUCUAAGUUCCUUGGAACAGGACGUCGUAGAGGGUGAGAAUCCCGUCUUGGGCGGCCGGUCCGCGCCCGUGUGAAGCUCCUUCGACGAGUCGAGUUGUUUGGGAAUGCAGCUCUAAGCGGGUGGUAAAUUUCAUCUAAAGCUAAAUACUGGCCGGAGACCGAUAGCGCACAAGUAGAGUGAUCGAAAGGUUAAAAGCACCUUGAAAAGGGAGUUAAACAGCACGUGAAAUUGUUGAAAGGGAAGCGCUUGCGGCCAGACUCGAGGGGCGGGGUUCAGCGGGUGCGCGUCACCCGUGCACUCCCCGUCCCCCCGGGCCAGCAUCAGUUUCGACGGCCGGUCAAAGGCCCCCGGAAUGUGUCGUCUCUAGGGACGUCUUAUAGCCGGGGGUGCAAUGCGGCCCGCCGGGACUGAGGAACGCGCUCCGGCUCGGAUGCUGGCGUAAUGGCCGUAAGCGGCCCGUCUUGAAACACGGACCAAGGAGUCUAACAUCCACGCGAGUGUUCGGGUGUCAAACCCGUGCGCGCAGUGAAAGCGAACGGAGGUGGGAGCCCUAGGGCGCACCAUCGACCGAUCCUGAAGUCUUCGGAUGGAUUUGAGUAGGAGCGUGGCCGUUGGGACCCGAAAGAUGGUGAACUAUGCCUGAAUAGGGUGAAGCCAGAGGAAACUCUGGUGGAGGCUCGCAGCGGUUCUGACGUGCAAAUCGAUCGUCAAAUUG
rnacentral:rRNA from 1 species